AACGAACGCUGGCGGCAGGCCUAACACAUGCAAGUCGAGCGAGACCUUCGGGUCUAGCGGCGGACGGGUUAGUAACGCGUGGGAACGUGCCCUUCUCUGCGGAAUAGCCACUGGAAACGGUGAGUAAUACCGCAUACGCCCUUCGGGGGAAAGAUUUAUCGGAGAAGGAUCGGCCCGCGUUAGAUUAGAUAGUUGGUGGGUAACGGCCUACCAAGUCUACGAUCUAUAGCUGGUUUUAGAGGAUGAUCAGCAACACUGGGACUGAGACACGGCCCAGACUCCUACGGGAGGCAGCAGUGGGGAAUCUUAGACAAUGGGCGCAAGCCUGAUCUAGCCAUGCCGCGUGUGUGAUGAAGGUCUUAGGAUCGUAAAGCACUUUCGCCAGGGAUGGUAAUGACAGUACCUGGUAAGGAAACCCCGGCUAACUCCGUG
rnacentral:rRNA from 1 species